rnacentral:rRNA from 1 species
GUUACAUAAGAGCAAAUGGCGGAUGCCUAGACAUUAAAAGACGAUGAAGGACGUAGCAGCCUGCGAUAAGCUUCGGAGAGGUGGCAAGCAACCUUUGAUCCGGAGAUUUCCGAAUGGGGAAACCCGGCGGACAAUUUAAGUUCGUCAUCAUAAGCUGAAUACAUAGGCUUAUUGAAGAAGACCUGGGGAAUUGAAACAUCUUAGUACCCAGAGGAAAAUAAAGAAAUAAUGUUAGUUUUUAGUUCUUGUUUGCUAUUUAUAGCGGUCAAGAAUCUAAGAGCUAAUCUCGAUUCCCUUAGUAGUGGCGAGCGAAAAGGGAUGAGCCCAAACCAUACCAGUGUUUUUAUCUAAAUUUGCCUUCGGGUAAAUUUGAUAAUUUUAAAGGUGUAAGCCGUUGCUGAUAUGGGGUAGUGAGAAGUCAUGCACAGAUCUUACAGUCUGUAGCAGAGUCAAAAAUUACAUUCCUAGUAGAAUCCACUGGAAAGUGGAGCCAAAGAAGGUGAUAGCCCUGUACGCGAAAGGAGUAAUUACUCUGUUGUGGUUCUCUCGAGUACCUCAGGACCCGUGAAAUCCUGGGGGAAUCCAGCGCGACUAUGCGCUAAGGCUAAAUACUUUUAAUGAUCGAUAGUGAACAAGUACCGUGAGGGAAAGGUUAAAAGCACCCCGGUGAGGGGAAUGAAAUAGUAUUUGAAACCAUUUGCUUACAAAGAGUUGGAGCUCCUAGAUUUAUCUAGGUGUGACAGCGUGCCUAUUGAAGAAUGAACCAACGAGUGUGCUAUAUGUUGCUGAUCUAAUCUUUACGAAGAGUAGGUGCAGCGAAAGCAAGUCUUAACCGGCAUAUUUAGUUAAAUAGUUUACCUAAGUUUACUUAGGUUAAACUAUUUUUCUAAAAGGCAGCAUAUACACGACCCGAAACCAGGUGAUCUAACCAUGAUCAGGGUGAAGUCAAACGAAAGUUUGAUGGAGGCCCGAACCCACUCGCCGUGCAACACGAGGGGAUGAAUUGUGGUUAGCGGAGAAAUUCCAAUCGAACCUGGCAAUAGCUGGUUCUACCCGAAAUAGCUUUAGGGCUAGCCUUAAAUGUUUCUUAUCGGUGGUAGAGCACUGAACGGGGUAAGGUGGGAAACCUUACUUACCCUAAUCAAACUCCGAAUGCCGAUAAAUUAAAGUUUAAGAGUCAGACUAUGGGGGCUAAGCUCCAUCAGUCGAAAGGGAAACAGCCCAGAUCUCUAUCUAAGGUCCCAAAACUAGGUUAAGUGUGAAAAGUUGUAGAAGUUUUUAUACAAUUAGGAGGUUGGCUUAGAAGCAGCCAUCCUUUAAAGAAAGCGUAACAGCUCACUAAUCAAGAACUUCCGCGCUGAAAAUUUAACGGGGCUAAACCUAGUACCGAAGAUGAGGGCUUGUACUUUUAGUACGAGCGGUAGGGUAGCAUUCUAUAUCUGCUGAAGUCGUAUGCGCGAGCAACGGUGGAGGGUAUAGAAGAGAAAAUGUUGGUAUGAGUAGCAAAAAUCAAGGUGAGAAUCCUUGACACCGAAAAUCUAAGGUUUCCUGGGCAACGUGAAUCGACCCAGGGUUAGGCGAUCCUAAGUCGAGGCCGAAGGGCGUAGACGAUGGAAGAGCAGGUUAAUAUUCCUGCGCUGCCUUUAUUUUCCGAUGGAGUGACGUUACUUCAAGCUUUAAGCGUCCGUAUGGUUAUGACGUUUAUUUCUUUUAGAUUCUUCCCAGGCAAAUCCAGGAAGAAUAAGUCUAAAAGAGACGAAAAGGUUGCGGCUUCGGCCAAAACCGAUUUAAGGGGAGAAGUAACCAAGAAAAACUUCUAGGGUUAAGGUAAAGGUAACCGUACCGUAAACCAACACAGGUAGAUGAGGCGAGAAGCCUAAGGUGUACGAGAGAACCUUCGUUAAGGAACUCGGCAAAACAGCGGUCGUACGUUCGCAAUAAGACCUGCCCAGAUUUAUCUGGGCCGCAGCGACUGAUCCCAAGCGACUGUUUACCAAAAACACAGGUCCCUGCUAAAUCCGUAAGGAGAUGUAUAGGGGCUGACUCCUGGCCAGUGUCAGAACGUUAAGGUGAGCCCUGCAAGGGGUGAUCUGAAGCGCUGAUGAACGCCGGCGGUAACUAUAACCGUCCUAAGGUAGCGAAAUUCCUUGUCGUGUAAGUUACGACCUGCACGAAUGGAGUAACGGUUUGGGAACUGUCUCAACGAAGGACUCGGCGAAAUUGCAAGACGAGUAAAGAUGCUCGUUAAUCGUGGCUGGACGAAAAGACCCCAUGAAGCUUUACUAUAACUUGGUAUUGAAUUAGUGAUAUCCAUGUUCAGUAUAGGUGGAAGACUUUGAAGCUAUAUCGUCAGAUAUAGUGGAGUCAACAAGUGAGAUACCACCCUUGAAUGUUUUUAAUUCUAAUCUUGAUCCCUUGAAUCAGGGCAAGAGACAGUAUCUGGUGGGUAGUUUAACUGGGGCGGUUGCCUCCUAAAAUGUAACGGAGGCGUUUACAAAGGUUGGCUAGCUCCCGAUGGAAACGGGAGUGGUAGUGCAAACGCAUAAGCCAGCUUUACUGCAAGGACUACAAUCCGAGCAGUUGCGAAAGCAGAAGUUAGUGAUCCGACCGUUUAUGCUAUAUCCAUUACUUAUCUUUUAGAUAGUUAAUGGUUAUAGCUUCGAUAUAGGACGGCGGAAGCUCAACGGAUAAAAGUUACUCUGGGGAUAACAGGCUGAUCUCCCCCGAUAGUCCACAUAGACGGGGAGGUUUGGCACCUCGAUGUCGGCUCAUCGCAUCCUGGGGGUGAAGAAGCUCCCAAGGGUUUGGCUGUUCGCCAAUUAAAGCGGUACGCGAGCUGGGUUCAGAACGUCGUGAGACAGUUCGGUCUCCUAUCCGCCACGAUCGUUGAAUUUUGAGUAGAUCUUUCCCUAGUACGAGAGGACCGGGAAGGACGAACCUCUAGUGUACCAGUUGUCAUACCAAUGGCAUUGCUGGGUAGCUACGUUCGGUUUGGAUAAACGCUGAAAGCAUAUAAGCGUGAAGCCGUCUACAAGAUUAGAAUUCGUUAUCAGACUCCUUGGAGAUGACAAGGUUGAUAGGCUGUAUGUGUAAGUUUGGCAACAAAUUUAGCAGAGCAGUACUAAUAUGUCGAGUAACCAU